UAAUCUGUAUGGAAAAUGGCUUGCUGUCCU
rnacentral:piRNA from 1 species